UAGGGAAUCUUCGGCAAUGGACGGAAGUCUGACCGAGCAACGCCGCGUGAGUGAAGAAGGUUUUCGGAUCGUAAAGCUCUGUUGUAAGAGAAGAACGAGUGUGAGAGUGGAAAGUUCACACUGUGACGGUAUCUUACCAGAAAGGGACGGCUAACUACGUGCCAGCAGCCGCGGUAAUACGUAGGUCCCGAGCGUUGUCCGGAUUUAUUGGGCGUAAAGCGAGCGCAGGCGGUUAGAUAAGUCUGAAGUUAAAGGCUGUGGCUUAACCAUAGUAGGCUUUGGAAACUGUUUAACUUGAGUGCAAGAGGGGAGAGUGGAAUUCCAUGUGUAGCGGUGAAAUGCGUAGAUAUAUGGAGGAAUACCGGUGGCGAAAGCGGCUCUCUGGCUUGUAACUGACGCUGAGGCUCGAAAGCGUGGGGAGCAAACAGGAUUAGAUACCCUGGUAGUCCACGCUGUAAACGAUGAGUGCUAGGUGUUAGACCCUUUCCGGGGUUUAGUGCCGUAGCUAACGCAUUAAGCACUCCGCCUGGGGAGUACGACCGCAAGGGUU
rnacentral:rRNA from 1 species